AUGGAGUCAGGCGUUCCGACGGGCAAAUUUGAGGUAGAUGAGAUAUCUGGAACUUCUACGUCUACCCUCCCCAUUCACAACGUAGGGGAAGAAGACUCGGCCACUUACUACUGUGCCUUCUGGGAGGUGCACAAAGCUGUAACCAGUGUGACAUCAUACUGGAUCAAGAUAUUUGGAAAAGGGACUAAGCUCAUAGUAACUCCCUCUGAUAGACGCCUUCCUGCAAACAUUUCUCCCAAGCCUACCAUUUUUCUUCCUUCAAUUGCUGAAAUCAACCUCCAUAGGACUGGAACAUACAUUUGUCUUCUUGAGAAUUUCUUCCCUGACGUUAUUAAGGUAUAUUGGAAACAAAAGAAUUGCAACACAAUUCUGGAAUCCCAGGAGGGAAAAACCAUGAAAACUAAUGACACAUACAUGAAACUCAGCUGGCUGACCGUGACUGAAAAGUCAUUGAAUAAAGAACACAAAUGUAUCGUCCAACACGAGAAUAAUAAAGGAGGGGUUGACCAGGAGAUUCUUUUUCCUUCAGAGAAUGAUGAUAUCUUGCAGUUGCAGCUCACCUACACUUCAGGCUGUUACACCUACUUCUUCCUGCUCCUCACGAGUGCCGGACACUUGGCCAUCAUCGCCUCCUGUCUGCUCCGGAGAACAGCAGUCUGCGGCAACGCACGGAGUUCAUGACAGAUGGUGGUACAAGAAAGGAAAGUUGUCUCCAGUGUUUAUUUUCCCUAACUGUGUCUCCUGAGGAUCUAGCUGGGCUUUCUCUCUACAUUUGGGUUCUUUCAGUUCACAAGCGUAGUUUUCUAUCUUGUCAUUAUUGUAUAAUGGUUUUUCAAACCACUGGGCAAACAGAAAACCUGAAUCUGUAACAAAAUGAAUUCUGCCAUUACUCAGGGGUGGGGUUGGGAGUGGUCCUUUAGCACCACUGUCUCCGUGAUCUCCAUCAGCUCCUCCAGGACCUGAAUGACCAUGCCUUCUGAGUACAGACAGCAUGCUGCUCUAGUCAUGUCCCUUAGGGCCAUUUAACCAGAACCACCUUGAAGCCUUCCAUUUUACACACCCUGAAUAUAACAUCUUUGCUACUUGAAUACUGUACUUUGUUUUUCACAUUAGGCACAAUAAAAAAAAUCACAAGUCUA